AACGAACGCUGGCGGCAUGCCUAACACAUGCAAGUCGAACGAGACCUUCGGGUCUAGUGGCGCACGGGUGCGUAACGCGUGGGAACCUGCCCUUAGGUUCGGAAUAACUCCCCGAAAGGGGUGCUAAUACCGGAUAAUGUCUUCGGACCAAAGAUUUAUCGCCUUUGGAUGGGCCCGCGUUGGAUUAGCUAGUUGGUAGGGUAAAAGCCUACCAAGGCGACGAUCCAUAGCUGGCCUGAGAGGAUGAUCAGCCACACUGGGACUGAGACACGGCCCAGACUCCUACGGGAGGCAGCAGUGGGGAAUAUUGGACAAUGGGCGAAAGGCUGAUCCAGCAAUGCCGCGUGAGUGAUGAAGGCCUUAGGGUUGUAAAGCUCUUUUACCCGGGAUGAUAAUGACAGUACCGGGAGAAUAAGCUCCGGCUAACUCCGUG
rnacentral:rRNA from 1 species